rnacentral:lncRNA from 7 species
AUUUUGAUUUAAGUUGGUUGACCUUGUUUAUGGAGGUCCUUAAAGAGGAGAUAAAGACAGAUCCCUUACAACAUUUGUGAUCAAUUUAUGGUCCUUUUAUAUGCUUACAAAAACUGCACUGAAGUGAAAAUCUGUGGCUGGAUGAUGUUUUCUUUCUCCUACUCCGUUCUUACUGCCUUGUACAACAGCAUGAGUGUCUGUUCUGCAGGCCUGUCACUUUGGCUAACAAAAUAUUAACUGGCAGGGUAACCUCAAGAAAAGCCCAAAGGGAGCUAGGUAUCGUCAUGAUGCGUUAUGUGAACAGCUUGGAGUUGAAAGGUAUCCAGCGCUUUUUCCAGACACUUGAUUUUUACAUAAGGUUUCCCCUGCCGAUGUGGUGAUACUCGUCCAACCCCAAAUGCCUGCAAUAGUUCUCUAAUGCCUUUGCUCCCCAGAAAAAAGUCAUGUUAAGUACAUGUGAUGACGUGCAACCAAAACAAGAGGAGUGCUGAUCGACGAAGACAGAGAUGCAUAAGCAAGAGGGUGGAUAAAUUGGAAAAAAGAUUUAAGAAAUGAAUGAGACGAACUCCAUUCACACCAGUAAUCUACCAGUUCCCCUUCAACUCCACUGAAGAUACCAUGGCCCAGAAACAUUAGGUUCUCUCUAUUUUUAUAUUGCAAAUAGUAGUUUGAUUUUAAAAAAAUAAUGCCAAUUAAAUGUCAUCACUUAUCUACAGGAGACAAACAUGAGAGCACACUGAUUUUACACACAAUACUCUUUAUGUAACUGGAAAUGAGUCACAAAUGCACAUGUAUAGAAGGGAUAUGUGUAGAAUGUCCUCUACUUUAAAUGCCUCUUCGAAUUUUUUCUCUGCUCAUGCUAAAUGAUUUUUGUCAAUAUUUUAAUUUCAGUUGGAAAGGGUGGAAUCAAAGAGUGACAUCUGGGAAAAUUAUCAUCAGCAAACUGAUGACUACAUACCAUAAUUAAGAAAUAAUGUAAAGAAGGAAGAAACUUGAUACAAAUUCUAUUGCAUUUCUGUGAAUUUACUACUAAAGAAUCAAGAAGACAUAUUUAGAAAUAAACAGAACAAUAUUCAUCAAUGUAUAGUAUCGUAAGAUGUAUUAUGUACAUAAAUGAUCAUUUCUGUAAUCAUAAGAAUAUUAAUGAACCAGCUAAUAAAUAAAAUAAGCACCAAAGG